AGGCGCACAGGGCGCGGCUACAGCAACUACUUCCUUCGCAACCCGUUGGUAGGGAGAAGGACGCCUCAGCCACUAGGCUGCUUCCGGUGUGUCACUGAACACCUUCCCCGUACCAGCAGCUGGAGGAUUUGUUUGGUAGCACCUGGGGGAUGGCUCUGUCCCGGGCGCACUUAGGCGGGCUGUGCGGAGCGCUUUACCUUCCACAGUGUCCGGCACACGCAUCCUUUUCGACAUCAUCACUUGACCUGCUGCAAUAGGUAACCUACCUGGCUCUCUCGCAUCCCGUUAUCAGCGUCAAGAAGAUUUGCACGUAGGCCUUUAAAGCCAGCCACCAGCCCCGGGCGCCUUCCUCUCACUAACCCCAUGCUGCCUUUCCAAACGGAAGAUGAACUUAGCAAUUCUAGGCGCUGCCUGUGUACUAGACAAGUCUUGCUGUGUUGCCCAGGCCGGAGUGCAGUGGUGCAAUCUCUGCUCAGUGCAACCUCUGCCUCCUGGGUUCAAGUGAUCAUUCUGCCUC
rnacentral:lncRNA from 1 species